CACAUGUGGAUCAAUACUGUUUGAUGGAGGAACUAAAGUAGCGACAAGACCAGAAUCAGACCCUAUAGUUCUUGUCCUUGGAGGACUUUUGGCCUUUAGUGUUUCUAUAAUUUUUCUAUUAAUUGUCAACAAUAAAGAAAAGAUCAUCUAUCACCACCACAAAGGACAACUAUGUGACAUUGAG